rnacentral:rRNA from 1 species
GACGAACGCUGGCGGCGUGCUUAACACAUGCAAGUCGAACGGUGAAGCGCCUUCCUUUUUGGUGGGUGUGGAUGAGUGGCGAACGGGUGAGUAACACGUGAGUAACCUGCCCCCUUCUUCUGGAUAACCGCAUGAAAGUGUGGCUAAUACGGGAUAUUCUGGGUCUGUCGCAUGAUGGGUCUGGGAAAGAUAUUGUUUCGGUGGGGGAUGGGCUCGCGGCCUAUCAGCUUGUUGGUGGGGUGAUGGCCUACCAAGGCGGUGACGGGUAGCCGGCCUGAGAGGGUGGACGGUCACAGAGGGACUGAGACACGGCCCAGACUCCUACGGGAGGCAGCAGUGGGGAAUAUUGCACAAUGGGCGCAAGCAUGAUGCAGCGACGCCGCGUGAGGGAUGGAGGCCUUCGGGUUGUGAACCUCUUUCGCCAGUGAAGCAGGCCUGCCUCGUUUGUGGGUGGGUUGACGGUAGCUGGAUAAGAAGCGCCGGCUAACUACGUG